AAUCCAUAGGUUAAUGAGGCGAACCGGGGGAACUGAAACAUCUAAGUACCCCGAGGAAAAGAAAUCAACCGAGAUUCCCCCAGUAGCGGCGAGCGAACGGGGAGGAGCCCAGAGCCUGAAUCAGCAUGUGUGUUAGUGGAAGCGUCUGGAAAGGCGCGCGAUACAGGGUGACAGCCCCGUACACAAAAGCGCAUGUGCUGUGAGCUCGAUGAGUAGGGCGGGACACGUGGUAUCCUGUCUGAAUAUGGGGGGACCAUCCUCCAAGGCUAAAUACUCCUGACUGACCGAUAGUGAACCAGUACCGUGAGGGAAAGGCGAAAAGAACCCCGGCGAGGGGAGUGAAAAAGAACCUGAAACCGUGUACGUACAAGCAGUGGGAGCCCCACCACCAAAGCAUUUGCUGUACCGCGUUGACGGAGCGAAGCGACGUCAAACCGAUAAAACAGCAGUGUAAAGUGAGCCGCA
rnacentral:rRNA from 2 species